rnacentral:rRNA from 1 species
UCAAUUGUCUAUUAAUUAUAGACUAGAAUGAAUGGAUUAACGAAAGCCAAACUGUCUCCUAAUUUUUAUCAAUGAAAUUAUCCUUUCUGUUCAAAGACAGAAAUUCUUUUAUAAGACGAAAAGACCCUAAAAGCUUCAAAUAUUAAAUUAACCUCUCUACUAAAACAAAUAAAGAAAAAUACUAAUUUUUAAAAUUUGGUUGGGGCAACCAUUGAAUAAAAAUAUCAUCAAUAAUCAAACGAAAAUUUUCUAAAAAUAGAGUAACAACUCAAUUAAAUAAGAAACUUAUUAAAAUGACCCAGAACCAUCUGAUCAAUGAACAAGUUACUUUAGGGAUAACAGCGCUAUUUCUUUUUAAAGUUCACAUCGACAAAGAAGCUUACGACCUCGAUGUUGGAUUAAGAUACCCAAGUGGUGCAAAAGCUACUAA